UAAGGAAUAUUGGUCAAUGGACGCAAGUCUGAACCAGCCAUGCCGCGUGAAGGAAGACGGCCCUACGGGUUGUAAACUUCUUUUGUACGGGAAAAAACCACCGGUCGUGGACCGGUGCUGAUGGUACCGUAAGAAUAAGCAUCGGCUAACUCCGUGCCAGCAGCCGCGGUAAUACGGAGGAUGCAAGCGUUAUCCGGAUUCAUUGGGUUUAAAGGGUGCGCAGGCGGAAUGAUAAGUCAGUGGUGAAAUCCUACGGCUCAACUGUAGAACUGCCAUGGAUACUGUUGUUCUUUAGUA
rnacentral:rRNA from 1 species